UACGUAGGGUGCGAGCGUUGUCCGGAAUUACUGGGCGUAAAGAGCUCGUAGGUGGUUUGUCGCGUUGUUCGUGAAAACUCACAGCUUAACUGUGGGCGUGCGGGCGAUACGGGCAGACUGGAGUACUGCAGGGGAGACUGGAAUUCCUGGUGUAGCGGUGGAAUGCGCAGAUAUCAGGAGGAACACCGGUGGCAAAGGCGGGUCUCUGGGCAGUAACUGACGCUGAGGAGCGAAAGCGUGGGGAGCGAACAGG
rnacentral:rRNA from 1 species